UACAGAGGGUGCGAGCGUUAAUCGGAAUUACUGGGCGUAAAGCGCGCGUAGGCGGCUUUGCAAGUCGGGUGUGAAAUCCCCAGGCUUAACCUGGGAACUGCAUUCGAGACUGCAUUGCUAGAGUAUGGGAGAGGGCAGUGGAAUUUCCGGUGUAGCGGUGAAAUGCGUAGAUAUCGGAAGGAACAUCAGUGGCGAAAGCGACUGCCUGGACCAAUACUGACGCUCAUGUGCGAAAGCGUGGGGAGCAAACAGG
rnacentral:rRNA from 1 species